AGCAAGUUUUACAGCUUGAGAUCCUUGCAUCACGAAGGUCUAAUGUCAAACCUGACACAUUCACCCCCAAAGUGGAUCAGAGCCCUUGAACUGGGUGGACAGUGCAGAAAGACAGGCCUUAAAAUAGAUGCCAAGUAAACUCUGCACUUCUCAGCCGAUUUGGAAGCCCUGCUGGCGGAAGUCCCCAGCGAAACCUCUCACCACACCACCGUGGUGAACGGCCUCCGCGCCCAAAGCUUUAUAAUCUGCUUCUAUAAUUUGUUUUCUCCUAAAAUUUGACAGGAUACACAAGAUCCAAUUGUCCUGGGCAGAGACUGUUUUAAAAACAUUUGGGAGGAACAAAUAAAGAAAGAUUAACAUAUUGUGAAAGGAGAAUCAUUCUGCCAUAUUUUUUUAGUGGUCUAAACACUCACAUAUUUAGAUAAAUCUUGGUCCUAAAGUGAAAUCUUAGAAAGAAUUCACUUACCCUCUGGUAACUGUUGAGUAAACAUGCUGGGGGCUCCCGCCACCCUCUGCCUUCAGGCGUCUGAGGUGGCAUCUGUGUAGACACCACAGAGAAAAAGAUGCUAAGGUCUUGUUUUUUCCCUUGUUUGACCUGACUUUGAAGCCCACUGUCUGUUCUAUUUUUCUCUCAAACAUUUGAACUAAUUAGUAAUCAGGACCUGGGGUGCUAUCAUUUGGUGUAAGGGGGGCUCCCUGUAAAUUUGCUGGGUUUCCAUAAAAUAAUGUUAGUGUGAGAAAACUUUUAAAAGACACAGUUGGACUGGGCAUGGCGGGGCACACCUGUCAUCCCAGCACUCAUGGAGGCCAAGGCAGGAGGGUGGCAAGCUUAAGACCAGCCUGGGCAACUUGGCAGCUUAGUGAGAUCCUGUCUCAAAAGAGAAAGUAAAAUCAGGGCUGGGGUACAGCUCAAUGCGAAAGUCCUGGGUUCAACCCCCAACACCAAAAAGGAAAAGUGAAGGGUUGGGCACCAGGAGCUCGGGCGUGGAACUGGUCCUGCUGCCCCCGUGGGUCCCAGAGGCAUGACUCAGACUCUCCAGGGAGAACCCCUUCCCGCCUGUAAAUGUGGGUGUUGGGCUGCAGCUCUUUGUUCCCGUGUCAUGAAGCCUUGUCCGCUGCUGGCUCAGAGUCCCUGGCAUGUCUCACAGAUGUCCCUGUGGGUUAGCAGAGCCACCGUGGCUUCCUGUCUGGCGGGGGAGGCUGCUCUCCGUAGGACUCUGAGCUUUCCAAGGACUGUCUUGGCUUCACUGCGAGGAGACUAAGAGGCUGACAGCAGUGCUGCAGAAGCGUCAGCCGACGAGGCACUCAGACACACCGUCCUGCCCCACAAACACGGUCUUCACGGCACAGAGAGGAGAACAGUUAGGACAUUCCCAGACUCAGCCUUGCUGGGCAAUGCCCGCGCAUCCUACGGCCAACCUUGGCUUGCUCUGCACCCUGCUCCUCCCGUUAGCAUCUCGCACCCUGUCUGUCUCUGUGUGUCACACGUACCUGGAUGCAGGUCUUUGAUUGCAGCCCUGAUGUGCUUUCAAAGGCAAGCAGAAACACAGAAAUGACACCCAGCGUUGGGAGGCAGAUUUAUUUUACAUCAACAAGCACAGAUCAGGGUCAUUCCUAGAAUAUCAGGCCCCAGUCUCUGGUGACCCAGGGCUUAUAUGGGAUACGCAAGCAGGUAGUACAGAGGCAGAGUGGCUUGUCAGUUGGGGAUUUGUUUAUAUGACCUGCAUUGUAGCAACCAGCUGUGCCCUCAGUGAUCAACCGUUUCUAAGAGACAGGAGCAACUGGAACUGGGACAGGAACUGUUACCCAGGCAACUAACAAUCUGAAGUACACUGACUACGGGGGCAUUUUCUGAUACAUGCUCAGGGGCACCACAGCGCCUGUGCACCCAGCUGGACACUGGAGCGGCUGCUCAGUGGUACCCGUGUUACUGGGCCAGCAGCCUCUGCCCUGGCUGGUACUGCUCCGGAGCAUGACCUCAAAUAGAGCUAACCAUUCAAUCCUUAAACCUGUGUAUAAGUUUUAAACUGGCUGGCCUUGUCGUAUUACAGCUGAGCCAGCUCCUGGCUUGACUAAGGUCACACUUGCAGGCCCCCGACAAAGUGAAAGCCACUAACGGCCCAUGUUUUCGCUCAGGAGCUGGGCUGGGGAAUUUGAGAGUCCUGACCCCCAGCACCAGCCCUGCUGGACCCCCAGCUUUCCUGCUGCCAGACUGGGCCAGAGAGGCCACUGAGGCCUGCUGAAGCGUCCCCACUCUGUGUCCUCCCUUGUCAGCUCCUCUGCUCCUCCCAGAUCACUCCUUCCCCCCAAGUCCCCACUCUUCAGCACACUCCACACACACCCAGGACCUGGCACCGCUGGCCAACAACACAGUGUCACUUCGCUUUCGAGCCUGCUGGUCUGUAAUUCUCAGUGCUCCAACCUCUGAACUGUAAAAAAUUCAGCCCUUUUGAAACAAGCUGAGGAAGGGUUUUUGUACCCAGGACGAAUGAAAAAGCCUCCUUUCCGUCUGUGAUACUGAAGCUGCGGGCAAAGGAGCUGGGUGGGAGCUGUGACCACACAGGGCUCGGGCUGGAGCUUGUCAAGGGAUGGGCAUGAGCCGUCUCCACUCUUUGCUUUUGUGGAGGAAGCUGCAGCGUGCCCUCUCCAGGACGCAAGAUGGACAUCAGCACGCGGCAGAGCCCUAGGUCCUGGCUUUAGAGGGACAAAAAGACCCACGCAUUCCCUUACCAGAACACUCAGCAGUUUUGCAACACAAAUCAGUGUUUGAAGCCAAGGAACCCUAGCUAUUAUCCUCUCCCGUUACAACAGCAACCACAACAGUGCAGAGAAGCUGGAGUUUUGAUCGCCCAGGGCCAGGCUGACCUGUGGGAACCAGGCCACAGGGAUGUGUUUUGCUUCUCAAAUGCACUGGUGUUUGGAACCAUCCAGGUGAGGGCCCUCGUUUCAUAGGCAGCUCGCCUGCCCUGUCUUGCCUGCACUUCCAAGAACAGAAUUCAAGGAUUCGGAAGAAUUAAAGAGGGUUGCAGUGCCAAACAGUUGACUGAAGGAUGUAGGUGGUGCCCUGGCUGCGCAGACUCCCUGGAGUAAGCCAGGCCUCGGGCAGCGCCUGUGACAGCCGAUCUCAGCGGGCUGAGGAGUCGCAGCCCUGAGCACCCUCGGCCCGGAGCUGCCUGCAUCUGCCAAGCUGAGAGGAUGAAGCGAAGCCUCACUGGGCAAGGGUCCUUGUUCCCGGUUAGGACACAGAUGCCUCCCGGGAACUGUGCCGUCCGUCAGGUGAGCCUGCGGCACUACCGCACCGCAGGGCCUCGGAGAUCUGGAAAAGGCCGGGGAAGUAAGGAAGGGCAGGCGUCUGCUGGCUGCAGGGAGCCCUGGCAGGAGCAGCCGGGGCGUGGGCUACGUGCAGCUGGGCAGCACACAGGUCACGUCGAGAGCUGGCCCUUCGCACACAGAGCUUCUCGGCCCUCUUGCUGUGUGUCUGUCUGCCUCCCUCCAGCCGGUGACGCCAGCGUGGAGGCCAAAUGUGUUUGCUCAGACCCCUCCCCCGCAGUCACCAGGGCUGCUCACGCUAACCAGUAAUUUAGAAACAAUGAGAACUCUUCCGUGGAAUCUGAGUGCGGUUGUCUGACUCCCAGCAUGCCCCUCGGCCCAGCCCACUUGAAAUCAACAGCAGAAGUGGUGGCUGCGACCUCCAGGAGGGCAGUGCACCUCCUUGGUUCCUUAGCUUUGUCCCUCCAGGACGUCCAUGCAGAACUGCCCCACUCUCCUCUGGGCCAACCCCGAUUUGCUGGUACCUUCCCUGGCACAAAAAACAAUCGGGAACAGAUGUGCAGGGCCUCCAAGGGGAAGACAGACAGGACAAGGUGCGUGGUGACAAGCUUGGAACUGCCCCAGGGCUCACACACAGUCAGGGCCACUCACACCGUGGAGAGGUGUGAGAUUUUAAAAAUCAUCCCCUGGAACACCUGCUCCAGCUCCACCGACUCUCCGUACCGCCUGAGAAUGGUGACAGCACCUCCAGGCUGUCAUGGGGGAGCAUGUUGACAGGGACACGAGGCCCACACUGAGUCCACGGAGGCCAAGGGGCGCAGCAUCUUUCAGGGAGAUGCGAAGGAGCCCUGCCUGCGGGAUGCUGGUGCCUGGCACCUCUGUUGGCAGCUGCUCGUACCUCCCCGGUCAGUUCCCACCUGCGUUGCCUCUCACGGUUCUGCCCAUCUGAGCUCGGAAAUCCCGAACCGUGCCCCGUGUCUUCCAGGGAGCAACCUGGGAAAGCGGGUCGGACCCCCGGGGCUCUUUGCUGAGGUCAGGCUACAGAGGCUGCAUGUGUUUCAGUAGAAAGAUGAAAGUCACGCAGUUUAAACCACGGAAAAUAUCAGUGCCUCUUAUCUGGCCCUAGAUUCCUAGAUCUACGGGAGGAAACUUGUAGAUCAAGUAAAAAGACAUCUAUUUAUAGCAAACUUGGAAAACCUCCCCCUUCAAAUCUCUGAGGGAUCAGUUCGUAGGGGGCACUCCGAGGGGACCGUGGAGGAAUCACAGUGGGGCGAGAGGCAGACGUGGACCCUCGUGACUGGUUAGCUUCUUGCACAAGGGUGAAACACCACGUGGUCCUCCCACACCCAGGGCAGGAAAGGGGACAAGUCCUGUGGCUGCAUGGCUAUGUGAGUGAGCCCUCCUCGGGGCUGCCUUCUCCAGCAGAAACCCAGAUCCUCACAGAACGGAACCACACAGUCUGCUGAAGAUGGUGAACACUGUUUCCCUUACGAGGAGGAAAGAUGCCCAGGUCCGGAGCGCUGACUGCGCACGCUGCACAUGUGAGUGCUAAGAUGCAGGGACAGCGCAGGUCCCCUGUCACGGUCACCACAGCCUGCAGAUCAGGGCUAUGAAUUAGAACAGGAAAGGUCAGAGUGCACUGUGGGCAGGGCAACAUGAGCCGUGUCCCUCAGCUAUCCCAGAGAUGUCUGUCACGGUGGCCCUGGGCCGUCCUAAGGGAACAGGAGAUGCUAACCACAACUGUCUUUGCAGGGCACCGCGCCAGGCACGGCAAGCUGGCAGGGCCACUCCAAUCCCUAGGGAGCUGCAAGGCCUGCAGCAUGGUCUUGCUGUCCCCUCCUUGGGGACCUGGAGGGACGUCAGGCCUGGCCACUGCCAUGGUAGCUUCUCAGCUACCUCUUCUAGCUCAGCGGCAGCCAGAAGUAUUAAUACUUUAACUGGUAAAGCGCCCGGAAGGAGCACUUGUAGGCUAGAAACAGGGCGGGGUACAGGCUGUGUGCGGAGAGGGCAUCAGGUGGGUGUGUGUCCUCCGCCAGCCACCAGUGAGAGCGGAUGGAGGGCCCACCAGCGAGGCCGAGGAAAGGUUUAGUUUUUCCCCUCCAAAGUGGCCUUUAUUUAGCGUGGCGUGGUGGCACACGCCUGGAAUCCCAGCCCUCAGGAGCCUGAGGCAGGAGGUUCAGGGUGAGUUUGAGGCCAUCCUGGGCUACACAGGGAGUUCAAAGCUGGCCUGCACUACAGAGUAAAACCCAGAAAAGCGAUGCUGUCUCUGGACGAGUACAUGCCACCCUGGGCCCGUUAUCCGCGCGAGGGAUUUCAAUGUGUGGGGAUGCCUGCAGUGCUCCUGAACAGCUUGCGUUAGGAAAGUUACGGAAGGUGCUCUUAGCAGUGCUAGGACGCCGGGUCGCCAGGCCUCCCAGCCUGCCCGUUCCGGCACCUCCCUGUGGCCUCCUGCCUUCUACGAAGAGGCAGCAGCUGCGAGGCGAAGCCAAGGCCUCCUGAGACAGCUGCUUAGUGAGCAGGAGAAGCCGUCCAUAAGGGGCAUUUUCCUAAAUGUUAACUAAAAGUACCUUAUCCCUGCUACUGCCCUAACUACCUCGCUGAUUCCUGUACCAAAGUCCCGCUGUUAAGGAAAGAGCUGAUUUAAACAAAGCAGGAGUAUUUUUAGCACAAUAAAAAAGAGACCAUUCAGGAUAUCUAAUUAUGCAAACCGUGAACUGGAAGACGCUCGUCUUGCAUUAGCCGAGACUUGACUCGGUUCUAAUUUGCUCUUUUCUCGCAGCAGAAAGCCGUCCUUCUCUGUCGCUUUGCUGCCGUGGCAUGGCUCGGCGCCUCCGCCAGACGCGGCGCAGGUCACCGCAAAGUGUUUCUGUUGCCGUGCAGACCGCAGCGAGGGAGCGCGGGGUAAUGCAUUGUAAUGCAGAUUACGGUGGUUUGCUGCUGCGCGAUCCACAGAUAUGAUUGCAUCUAAUUUCAGAAAUAAGUGGAACCGUCUGCUCUUUUGUGGGAGCUGAAAAGCUGUUCGACGGCAUUCAAGUGACGGCUGCCUCUGCCCCAGGAGAGAGGCGACCCCCUGUGUCACCGCAGUAACUUCCUAGGAGAAUCUCACUUCUUUUCUUUUGCCUGGAAAGAUAGCACAUUCUGCUAUUCCGGGGAGAGUGUAUUUGUUUUGCUGAACUUUCUCGUUUCUUCCUCUUGGAGAGGACAUUCGCGUGCGGUGUCCUUGUCCCUCUCGGUCCCCACAGUUCUGUGACAGUGCUGCUCCUGCUCUUGGCAGAAGACAUCGCAGGCACACUUCGGUGCCCGGGGCCGACCCCACGUCUCGACGCUGGCCACCUCCUGAGAAAGUAAACUAGGUACCAAGCCCUUUGGCAGGAAGACGCGGGGUUUCCUAGGGAGCCUCAGGAACCAAGCAUGCUGGCACCAGCAGGCCCUCUGGACCGUGGAGCACAGGGACAUCGAUCGUGAAGCUGGUGGGCCAGAGGCCCGGAAUGGAGCCCCUGCGAUGGGCGCGGACACCCGGGUUUGUGCAGAGCCUGUCCUGCAUGAAAGCAAGCCCGGGCCUCGCUCCUCGCUUCCUGGGCUCUGAGAACCUGACCAGGCUGUGGAUAGGGGCUCAAACAGGACCCGGUACAGGAGGGAAGCUGUGAGCGCCAGCCCUGCUCAUGGCUGUCACCUGGACCCUGAGUCCUACCGGAGGUGUCAUGAAGCUCUCUUAGAGGCAGCCGUCACGCGACUCAGGCUUCUGCUCCACUGCAGUCUGGUCUUCAGUGUUUACUCCAGGUAUUUCAUCUGGGUGGUAGGAGUAUAAGACAUUAGGAUCAUGUAAAAGCCACUUCUCUUUUUAAAGACGCAAUUGUUUGUGCUGUGGACUCUGAAAUCCUGUCAUGACCAGGUCUCCUCUAUGACUUCCUCACGGGGCUUCACAGCCGCGGCCAAGAGACCCAGGUGCCAAGCUGGAGCCAGCACCUGGGCAGACUCGUCACGGAAGCGCUGUCCCCAGCACCUGACACACCAGAGAGGGGGGGACCCUGCACCCCGGCAGCCACAGCGGUGGUUCUGAGGGGCUGAGAUUCCAGGUGGGAAAAGAAAGCCACCAGGAAACACAGACUUCUCAGAGGGCUCAAGGGUCGGCCCCUUCUGCAGCGUGCAGGUUUUGUGACCCAGGGAUGCUCUCACCACUGACUGCCUGGUCCUCAAGCACAGACCUCGCAGCACGAACUCUGCCUCUUGUGACACGCAAAACACGUGCUUGUGCCACUUGGCAAGGAGAAUUUCAACCCACAUACGGGUGUCUGGAGAGAUGGGCAGGGGAUGAUGGGUAUGAUGAUCAAGCAAGGUGCAGGUUUCCUUCUUUAAUUAUUAAACUUGGGCUUGCAUCGUACUUCAGCAGAUGAGUAAACAGUUACGUGUUUGAUGUGCAGCCUGACACAGUUCCUCUCCCCUCAGGGUGGCCCGUGCAAGCCAUGGGCCUGCGCACCAGGCUUUAUAUUUUAAAAACCAGUUAUAGAAGGCAUUUGCUUCUAUUCUAAGUUCUGGCCCAGACUUCAAGGGAAAACUCUGCACUGAGAAGAACCCCGAGAGGGUGCGCUCCACAUGCCCUCCCGCUUCCACUGCCUGGAUCCAUCCGGAGUGAGGAGCGCCCAGGGCACAGGGUCCAAUAGCUUGCUAAGCUGUCAUUAGCUCAUUGCUUUCUGAAGACACCAGAAGACAUAGGUCUCUGCUCGCUCUGUGCCGCCAUCUUCCUGUCCUGCAGAUCUGGGGUCCAGAGCAGGAUCCCAGAAAUGCCUCCACACUGACCUGGCACUGUCUCCCAGUGCGAUCACCUAGGGGACCUCGGGUCACAUCUGCACCCACAGGGCGGCCUGCUGUCCUUGGCAGAGAUGAGGUCACGAAGCUUCUCUGCUCAUGUUGAAAGGAUUUCCACACAGCAAGGACACUCACAAGGUGACUUGGUGGGACAAGGGCUCAGGGCCAGGCCAAUCUCAAAGGCGACAGCCUUUUAGGUGAGCUGGACUGGUCAACAGCACUCCCAAGGGAUGCUGAUUGGGGACAACUCAAGACAGCACACAGCUGGUUGUGCAGGUCCACAAUGCCUCUGUCAGAGCCUGCAGUGUGGACACAGCGCCUUCCCCUCUACCGGCUCCGCCUGGAAGACCGGCCUUGGUGGACAGCGCUCUGCCUGCUGUGUAGACACUUCUCAGUUGACACACUUGCCUCUUCCGGUGCCUGGUGCAGACCACAUGCCAGUGUCACUUAGGGAAAGAGAUGAUGAUUGCCUGUCGCUGGGUUUGAGUCCCGAGCGGGCAAUUAGCAGACUUUUCUGGAAACCCCACCUCCCCCGAGCCCGGCGGAGCCUUAGAUUCAGAGCCUUGGGCCUGUCACUGGCAGCGAGGGCGCCCACAUACUGGAAAGGCUGUGGAAAUUACAUCGCAUGAGUUAAACCACCGGAAGUGAGGUGGCUUUCUGACAGGAUCCUGCUGGGAUAUUUUUCAUCACUUUUUCAAUAUUUUUUCUUGCUGUCAUUUAAAUAGAUUCUUGGAAACUUGAAACUUAAAUCUGUCUCCUUACCCAGAGUUUCCCUUUCAGCGUGUGUGCAGGCACACACACGCACACACGCACACACACACACACACAACUGCUUUGUUAUUUUAGGAGUGCUCAUGGGCUGGUGGCACUGACUUUUUUUUAAUCAAAAAAACACAUGAAAGCUUUCACUCCACAUAUUUUCCCCACACAUACUGCAUCGCGCAGUGGUAAAUUAAAGCCACAUAGGCAAAAAAUAGAGGCAUCUUUGCUGGCCGUGCAGACCCAAGCAGGCCAGACAGCAGCCCCUUCCUCCGGCCCUCACCCUUCCCCCUCCCUCCCUCCCUCCCUGAGUCCCGAUACUUUCUUAAAGAUUUACUUCUGUGAGCCAGUGUAUCUCGAAUAAUUCUGUUAAGGCACACUCUGUGGCUGUUUACAGUGAGAGCUCACAGCACAAUCUUCACACUCUACAUGAGAAGCCCAGCACAUAAAUCUGAUUUUCAUAAUGGUUCAGACUCACAUACAUUGUUGGUGAAAGGCUACAAAAAUAUGCUUUGUAUUAGCUCUGCUAACUUUAUAUUCGAUUUUUAAAAUAACUUUAAUUGUAUUUCCCAUUGUUUCUAUUGCAUUCUUAUAACACAAUUUGUGUUCCCUCUGGUAGCUAAAAUUACACCUGUAACUGUCCAAAACUAUUAGUAAAGUCAGCUUAGCCCGUGGGAUAAAGUAUCUGUCUUGUAUUUCAGACAGAUUGUGUUCCAACACCAAUGUGGUCAGAUUUUUAUUAAAAAUUCUUCAUAUUUCUUUUCUCUCGGUGCCAAACAGAUCGCUACAUUUUCAACACUUAAUCAUCUUCAUCAUCUAAAAAUAUUUCCACAUUAAACAAAAAUAUUUAAACUUCUUUUUGAUGCAGCAAACUUAGAACGCUGCACCGAGUCUGGUUUUCAUAAAGCUGCGCGGCAGCGAGGCUCGCACCCAGCGGCAGCGCGCGCGGGGCCCGGCGGGCAGCGUGGGAGGGCGCAACCCCCACGGACCGCGCAGCCUCUAAGGGUGCGGCUCGGCGGGGUGUCCCGCUCCCUGACGGUAUCUUUGGAGGCUCCCCUUGGCGUCCUGGCACUCUGGGUUCCCGUGCAUGGGAGGAGGGAAGCCCCACAUCCAUCCCACUCCGUCCUCCCCGUCCUCCCUCCCGCAGCUGCUGCUCCCAGUGCAGAUUCAGUCAGCGAAACAGAAACUGCCUCAGCGGUGCAGUACUCCUGGGGACAGGUGACACCGCGGUGGGUGCUGGAAGAGGGCAAGAGGCCCCGGGACACAGGAGCCCGGGAUCAGCCACGCAGGAAGCUCUGUGUGGAGGGAUGACAGAGGAGAAGGAAGGGAUGCCAGGGCCAGCAGGGGACAGUCCCUGCAACCUGAGCUGAGGGGAGGGGAUGGCAGAGCCCCAAGCAGGGCUGUGAGCCCCUCCAGCAGGGGCCCAGUCUCCAGCUGCCUGGCCUCAGGGCCUGAGCCACUGCCAGGGCCUGCACAGGCUCUGGAUAGAACAGGGACGUGGGAAAUGAGGUUUGCAGGGAACCAGUACGUGCUGCAAGGGCCAGAGCUGGGGUCAGAUGCCACAGCCAGGGCCGUGUCUCCUGGGUCACACCUUGGGGGAGAGAUCGCCGGAGCCCAGGCAUCUUAGCCGUUCCAGCCUCCAGAGUUGUGGAGAGGGUGGGUCCUGCUGAGCACUUUGCUCAGGACUCUUAGGGACCUGGGCAGCUUGGCCUCCCUCCCUGCCUGGCCCCCCAGCCACCGUCCUCCACCAGGUACACUGGGCCUACUCUGCUCCUGGGCUGGGUUCAAAUCCAGGCCCCACUGAAUGAGUGGCCUUCUUUCCCACUGCCCUCUCCCUCUUCUUCCCAACCUCCUUUAAGAGCCAGAAGCCCCUGUGUGGAGGCCCUGGGCCCGGGCAGGGUGGGCAGAGAGGGUGGACCUGUGUGGCUGCCUGCCAAAGCCACUUCCGACAACACAGGCGCCAGGACAGGGAUAGGCGCCAGGAGGGUGGGGCCAGGCGGGUGCUGGCUGGGAUGAAGAUGGUGCAGGACUCUGUCGGGUCUGCUGUGCCAUGUGUCGGCCCACGCCCCUCAGCGUCCUGUGACUCGGGUUCCUCAGCUUUGCAAAGGGGUGAUAACAGGGGUCCUUCUGGGGUUGGGGUGAUGGUAGCCAGCAAACUGGUGUGGGACACACAAGCCAAGGAUCCAGCACACAGUCCCUCCCCUACCUCAGCUGGACUGGGGGGUCGGGGUAGCCCCUAAGGUGUCCCCGUUCCAUCCCCAGGCCUGUGUGCCUGCUCCUUCCUAAAGGAAAGGGGGCUUGGUGAGGUGGAGGCUCCGGUGGGAGGUGGCCCUAUCCUCCAAGAGGCCACUAUAACUCCACAGUUCCUUUUAAGAAGGGGGCAGGGGUGAGGGACUGUCCCCUGGCCAGGCAGGACCAUCCCCCGGCUGGGCAGGCCCCACUGCCUUGGAUCUCAGUACACACACACACACACGCACACACGCGCGCACACACACACACACACACACACACACACACACACGCACACACAGGACCUGGGCACAUGGUUACCGGCAUGAUGGGUAGGAACGGUGAGCGAGGACUUAGGAACACCCCUGGGAGAACACAGGUUUCAGCUCACUUUAUUUUAUAGCUCUGAAGCAGGGGACCAAGCAGGUGCUAUGGUCCCUAUGCACCAUAGGGACACUUGUUUUCCACGGGCCCUGGGGUGCCAAGGGCCCCCACCAACCUCGAACCCACAGACAAGGUUCUGCCUCCACAAAACGCACCAUGGCCCAGGACCAGCUGGGCUUGUUCUUCAGCUAGUCGGGGUGCAGACAGCUCCCCUUUUCCUGAGUGCCCCACAAAGAGAGGUGGAUGUGUGGAGAGAGACUGGCCAGCCCCAACCCCUGGCGGUGAGUCGCGGUGGUGACACCUGUUCUGCAGCCCUGGUCUCUCUGCCCUGGGACCCAGGGUGCCUGCCUUCCUUCCAGGAUUUGGUUUUGGCUCAGUCACAGUUGUUGGGGGCCACACUGGGCCCCUCGAGAGGCAGGCACAGCAGGAGACGCUGGAAGGGAAGCACCGAACCAAAGACCCACUGGGUCCAAGCUCUCGGAAUGUGAGCGGGUGAGAGGUUGUAAGGCUCAGGGUAGGAGAGACCUCGCUCACCACACCUGAGGCUAAGGAGCAGAAAUGGAAGGGCAGGAGCGGGUGGAUUCCUGCUGGACUUCGGGCCUGAUUUUCCCCACUGUGGACUGUGCAGCCCUGGGAACAUUAUUUACCAUUCGCCUCCUCGUCUAUAAAAUAUACAUGGUUGAGAAACAAACAGAGAAAUCUUCUUCCUUCCUAGAAGUCUUGAAACUGCACUUAAAGCUAGAGAUUUCCUGUCUCCAGCCCAUUCACCUGUCAAAAGUACAGAUGAGAGAAAAUUCUCGAUGCUGGCACAGCCUGGGAAGAGGUCACCUUCAUCAGCCUCAGUGGAGCUGGGGCUGGGAGCCGCUGGGGAACACUUGGGAAUACCCAGUCUGUCAGGCACCCUCCAGGCCUGCGCCCCACACCUACACAGCACAGCCAUGCACGGCCCUCCCGUACCCAGUGGAGGGCGCCUCGGUCCUUGUGCAGGGAAAGGUCCAGCGAUGUGCGUGACCUCCUGGCAGGUCCUGGUGCCCGAAGGUGCCUUCUCCCCUCCUCCUCCCCCAAAGGACCCAGGUGCUUGUCGACGUCAUGGUCACCAGUGUACUGGAACUCCUGAUUUCUCCAGGGAGAACAGGUCUGGUCUGCUCUGCUCCCUGGACAGAUGCACCUGACGGCCCCUUAGAAGGACUUCCAGAAGGACAAGGAGGAGGGAGGUACCCCAAGGACAGCUGGGUGACUGGCUUUGGCCUGGGGUACCCAGCUGUGUUCCAGUCCUGUGUCUUGGAAGAGUAGCAGAUGCCUACACUCUUACUGGAAAUGGGGGACCAGAGGAAAGGAAGAGGGGGGAAGAGGAAGAGGAAGAGGAAGAGGAAAUGGAGGAAAAACCCACCGGCAGCCGUCUGUGAUGUCAUCCUGCCUCUGCCCCCUAACUGCAUGUGUGUUCUAAAGCCUGCUUCUGCCCACCCUCCGAGAGGUCCUGGUUCGGCCCCUGUCUGACCUUGGGCCACACUGCUGGCAUCCGCACGCUCCCCUCUGGGGGCUGCUGGGGCAUUUCCACGCUCCCCUUCCCCACCCCAGCACCAAGAAUACAUUAUCUGUCCUGGUCUCCCCAUAAAGCAACGGAAAGUGGGGCUCUCGUGCCAGACUUCUGGGUUGGACCCUGGCUCUGCACUCCCUGGCUGUGAGAUGGUGGGGUCAACUUCUUCCUCCCCAAAGAGAGACAAAGAUGGCGCCCACCCUGCAGGGCGGUGGAGAGACGCUUGGCCCACAGGACAUGCCUGGCCAGUCAGCCUCCCUCGGCCGUCAGUCCUCUCCUCCUUUCCUUCCUUCUUUCCUUCCUUUCCUUCCCCCCUCCCUCCAUCCCUCCCUCUGCACGCACUGGCGGCCUGACCUUCUCCUCAGCUGACCUCUGGCCACUUCUCCCCACUGCCCUUCUCCAGGCUCCCAUGGCUCCUGCUGCACACCAGCUGUGCCCAGGUCCCCUUUGCCUUCCUGGAACUUGCUAGGCUCUUGCCAAACGAUGGCGGAAGGAAUGAAUCCUAUCAGCGUACUGUGCGGGCAUUUCCCUGCCUGGUUUCUCGGAGGGCACAACUCGUGUGCUGGCCACGUUCACAGCUGGGCUCUGGCGUCCAGGAGAGCAGGGGGCACAAUUGAGAUGCACCCACCCUGGGGGCGUCCUGACCUCCCAGCGCCCCGCCACACCUAGGUGGGUCUAUCAUGGAUCCGAAAAUCCUACAAAUUCUAGCAACUGAUGAUAUAGAUUUUUGGAGUGAAUAGUCCUUCCAAGUUUCUUAUCCCUCUAACACUCAUCACGUGAGCUGGAUGAUUUGAACUCUAGGGCUUCGUUUGCCUUCCAUAAUGCAGCGAGAUGACUUUGGGUGAACUUCAACCCUUCUCGAUGGCUGCCGGCUGCGGAGCCCACAUCCAGCGCUUGUGAGGAGCAGGCAGUUACAGGCCGCCGUCAGCCCUGUCAGACGAGGAGAAGAAGAUCUAAUUAUUCUGUCUUUCGAUCACUUUUAUUAGUAUUAGUGAAACUGUUUUCUGCGUAAAGGUUGCUUUUCCUCUUUCAGACAGCAUGAACUCUUUCAUUAAAUUACCCUAAAAUGCUGAUUGCUGUAAUCUAAGCCUUCCAGUGUCCAACGAUUACUUUUAGCUCCAUAUUUGAGCAAAAGAGAAAAAAUAAAUUGUCCAGCAUUCACUAAAACAACAACAGGCUGUUUGCAGCGUACAUGCUGAGCAAAUGUGUGGUAAAUGAAUAAAGUAAACAUUAUUUUUUAAAAGAAUGAUGAUUUAGCAAUAUAUGAACUCAUAAAAGAUUUUAUAGUUUCUCUGUCUAUUUAAAACUGUGAAGAGUGAAACUGUCUGGACUUUUCAAGAAGAACAAAACUGGAAUGGGCUGUGCCUUGGGCCUGAAACAGGAAGCCUGGUUUUGCUGCAGCCCUGCAAGUCUCGGGGGGCCGUGCUCCGGCUGUUUGCCUUGUGCGCUGAGGACGUCCAGUGACUGAAGGCUUGGGGUCCCCACUUCUGCCCCUCGCGGGAGCCGGGUACUCUAGGGGAGCAGACUGCAGGGAGAGGGUCCGGCCCCUCUGGGGCGACUUCAGUCUGACUCAAUGUCACAGAUGACAGCAAGGUGAUGCUGAGACAAGAGGGCAGGACACCGAGAGAGAGGGCAAGAGCCCCGAACCCCGAAAGCCAAGCCGUUGAAUAUUACGAGCAAGCCAUGCCUCACUGAACUCAUUUUUCAGGACAGAAAAGCAGAUUGUUGAAUUAUUCACGCCGAAGUAAUCCUUGCUUAAUUUAAUCAUCGAACUGGGUUUCCUAAUAUGGAUAUUUUCUUAGACUUCAAUUUGUUACAUAGCAAGCUUAUUUUCUAAUAGUCUAUGUUGGUAAUAAGAAAAUGAAUUACAUGCUCUUGGCAGAGAGAUGACAAGUUAGAUCUGAGUUUAUCCCACACGAACUCGGUCCCCUCUUAAAUUCAAUCAGCCCAGGGGCCCUGUGCAACCUAUCAGAUCUGGAUGCCAACUAUGAACAGAUGGCGACUCUCCACGCCCUGCCCCAGAACAAAGGCCAGGGCUCGCGCUCACCAGGACCUGUCCAGGGCAUCGCAGGAGGGUCACGCGGCCAUGCCGAGGGGGAGCAAAGUCCCCGGUGGGUGAGUGAAGGGCUACACCCAGCACCCAGCACCCAGCAACGAGGGUGCUUACCCAGGCAAGGGUGGAGCCUGACUGACGACCUAGGGGGCAGGGACCAAGGUGCCUGGCACCUGAAGACUGGUGCCCACUGUCUCAGAGCGAGCCGGGGAAACGCCAAGACCAGCAAAUGCACUGCCGCGGUUCCUCACCUCGCCUCUAGCAGAGCUACCAGCACAACACCGCCUCUCUGUGACAGGAAACCCGAUUAUUAGGAGCAUUAAACACGAAAAGAUCGCCACCUUCCCAGGGCCGCAGACCGCUGGUCUCACUUGUCAAACACGAGUUCGCUUCUGACACUGAUUUCUUAAAUUUCCGCUGACGUGGCAAUCCACAGCCCUUGCUCCCGGCUCUGAAACGUUUUAGAGACUUCACAGCUAAGCAGUCAGAAAGGAUUUGGGGUUUCAUUCAGCUCCCUGACCUGUUUAAGAGAAUCGUGGAAAUAAAACAAUUUUCAGCUCAGGGCUGAGAAG